UACGAAGGGGGCUAGCGUUGCUCGGAAUUACUGGGCGUAAAGCGCACGUAGGCGGUCUUUUUAAGUCGGGGGUGAAAUCCUGGAGCUCAACUCCAGAACUGCCUCGAUACUGGAAGACUUGAGUCCGGGAGAGGUGAGUGGAACUGCGAGUGUAGAGGUGAAAUUCGUAGAAUAUUCGCAAGAACACCAGUGGCGAAGGCGGCUCACUGGCCCGGUACUGACGCUGAGACGGCGAAAAGCGUGGGG
rnacentral:rRNA from 1 species